rnacentral:tmRNA from 2 species
GGGGGCGUACGGUUUCGACGGGGUCGUGGUUUGCGUGACUGCGAGUCGAGCCCCGGGCUCGUAAAACCGGGACAAACAUAAGUGCGAAGAAUGCACAGCCCCUUGCGCUCGCUGCGUAAGUAAGGCAAACGCUCAGGCUACGGCCUGACGUCGACCGGUCAAGCGGCUGCGCUGACCGGACCCGACGCUAAUACCAGCAGCCUCGGCCCCCGCUGGCGUCACGGCGGCGGGGGCGACGUACACCGUGACUGGCCGGUACGGAGCCUGGUCCCAGGGCGACGCAUCGGUGAGAACAAAACCGGGACUACACUCGUAGACGUUGCGCUUGACACGGCUUCGGACCCGGGUUCGAUUCCCGGCGCCUCCACCA